UUUUUUUGAAUUUUCACCGGGGGGGAGAUUUCUCCACCUGAAUUGUAUUCAUAUUGCCUAUAAGGCUUUGCAGCCUAUUGCAAGAUAGGUUCAAGUGAACCGGAAAUACAGGAGGGCACAAGAGGAGAAGAGAUAAAGAAAAAAAGACACACACAUACAACACACAAAACGGGGGAGAAACAAAGAGGGAAAGAACAGACAACACAACAAGAGCACCGCCAAAGUAGUCGAACGCCAUUGGCCAGCCUAGACCAAGCCAGGGCACUGUACCGUCGAUGCAAUCAAAAGGCGCCGCGCAUCCGAGAGUACACAACGCCGCGACACCACCUGUGCCGUGGGGUGCAAUCGAAAGGACACACCAGCCAAGACGACACCACGACACCUGUGUGCCACCGACAAGGCCGAAGGGCAUCAUCUAGUAGACCAAACCAAGACACUGCACCGUCGACGUAAUCGAAAAGCGCCGCGCAACCGAGACUGCCCAACGCCGCGACACCACCUGUGUCGUGGGGCGCAAUCGAAAGGUUACAUGAGCCGAGACGACGCCACAACACCUGUGUGCCACCGGUGUAGUCACAUAGGCAUCGCCACAAGACGAAGUGACGAAGACAAGGGAAGACGACCAACCCCCAAGCCACGGCCCUCCCGGGUGAGAGGAACCGCAUCCAUGGCCGCCACAGCAAAGCCAUGGAGCUCGCC
rnacentral:lncRNA from 1 species